GGGCGGGUAGCGUAGUGGUUUAGCGUGUUCCUGAGCGUUCUUAUCAACGCAGGCGUUGAUUUUCCAGCGUUUAGCGAGAGGCCUGGGUUCGAAUCCCAGCCCGCCCA